AACUUAUCAAGAGAGGCGGAGGGACUGGUCCUAUGAUGCCCGGCAACCUGCAAGCAGCAAUGCUUGGAAGGUGCUACUUCCAGCAAACAAAGAGUUUGAGAGAUAAGAA
rnacentral:ncRNA from 1 species